AUUAUAUUUUUCUUGUAUGUGCAAUAUACUAUUUCAUUUUUUUAUUUUUUCUCUCCUUUUUAUAUUUGAAGCACAUGUCAACCAGCAUUAAGAUUUUCUUUAACUUUUUUGAUUUUGCAGUGGUGGUAGUCUCUCGGUAACUGAGGAUGACGAUUGUCUUUGUGCUUUUUUGUGCACAAAGACACCUGUGCAUGAAGAUGUAAGUGGAAAAGUUGAUGCACAGAGACAGUCCCACUCUCUCGGCGUUGGAAGCCUGGGUCCAGUCGCACGAAAAGUCAUUACACCUGGAGACUUCCUCAGCUGCAUUGGAUGGCCACAUUGUCUUUUGUGCUCCAACACGCUCUAAGCACUCCACAGUGCCUUGCUGCAUCACCAUCUCAGCUAUUGAACCUUCUUGUUGGUUUCUUCAGCCUGUUCCACCAAAACAGUCUUCACAUGCUGGGUUAAGAAAGAUGCUACCUCUCUGA
ensembl:lncRNA